AACAGCUGAGAGUUCUUAUGAGUGAGAUAAGAGGCCAUUAUUCACCAAUUUUGUGUGUGUUUGCAAGAAAGGAAGGGGAAAGUCAAGCUAGGAGAGUUGGGGAGCUUGGAUCUACUUCCAUUUCGACAGAGGAAGCUACUUGAGGAGGAUUAUAGCUCAGAGGAUCGAGCACGAGCGAUUUCCAGGAUUCGCGAGUUAUCGAGAUAUACGAGGUACUAGUGAUGACCGUGGGAAGGCGCCGACUUGAUCUGUACACACGCAUGGGAUUUUUAUGAUAUGUGAUCUUGGGAUUUUGUAUGAUAUGGAUUGGAGUCUUAAAACAUUGAUGUUUUUAUGAAAAUUAAAUGAAAAUGUUUUUAUAUUAUGCA